rnacentral:rRNA from 1 species
CCUACGGGGGGCAGCAGUGGGGAAUAUUGGGCAAUGGGCGCAAGCCUGACCCAGCAACGCCGCGUGAAGGAAGAAGGCUUUCGGGUUGUAAACUUCUUUUCUGAGGGACGAAGAAAGUGACGGUACCUCAGGAAUAAGCCACGGCUAACUACGUGCCAGCAGCCGCGGUAAUACGUAGGUGGCAAGCGUUAUCCGGAUUUAUUGGGUGUAAAGGGAGUGUAGGCGGGAAAGCAAGUCAGAUGUGAAAACUCAGGGCUCAACCCUGAGCCUGCAUUUGAAACUGUUUUUCUUGAGUGCUGGAGAGGCAAUCGGAAUUCCUAGUGUAGCGGUGAAAUGCGUAGAUAUUAGGAGGAACACCAGUGGCGAAGGCGUCUUACUGGACCGAAACUGACGUUGAGGCUCGAAAGCGUGGGGAGCAAACAGGAUUAGAUACCCCGGUAGUC